UUCCUACGGGGCGCAGCAGUGAGGAAUAUUGGUCAAUGGGAGAGAUCCUGAACCAGCCAAGCCGCGUGAGGGAAGACGGCCCUAUGGGUUGUAAACCUCUUUUGUCGGAGAACAAAACCCGGGACGAGUCCCGGACUGCGUGUAUCCGAAGAAAAAGCAUCGGCUAACUACGUGCCAGCAGCCGCGGUAAUACGUAGGGUGCGAGCGUUAAUCGGAAUUACUGGGCGUAAAGGGUGCGCAGGCGGUUGAGUAAGACAGAUGUGAAAUCCCCGAGCUUAACUCGGGAAUGGCAUAUGUGACUGCUC
rnacentral:rRNA from 1 species